UACGGAGGUCUCAAGCGUUGUUCGGAUUUAUUGGGCGUAAAGGGUGCGUAGGCGGCUCGGUAAGUCGGGUGUGAAAUCUCGGAGCUUAACUCCGAAACUGCAUUCGAUACUGCCGUGCUUGAGGACUGGAGAGGAGACUGGAAUUUACGGUGUAGCGGUGAAAUGCGUAGAUAUCGGAAGGAAGACCAGUGGCGAAGGCGGGUCUCUGGACAGUUCCUGACGCUGAGGCACGAAGGCCUGGGGAGCAAACGGG
rnacentral:rRNA from 1 species